rnacentral:lncRNA from 1 species
CGAACACUUGUAUGAUUUUACACAUGAUAGCCAAGUUGAAAAUUUUCGUCACAUUUUUCUCAGGAACUACAAUACAAGGAUUUCUGAAAUUUGGUUUCAGGAUUUAUAUAAGUCAGCUAUACCGUGUGAUGCGUUUUCAGAUUCAUCACUCGACAACUUCCUGUUUACCGAACACUUGUAUGAUUUUACACAUGAUAACCAAGUAAAAAAUUUUCGUCACAUUUUUCUCAGGAACUACAAUACAAGGAUUUCUGAAAUUUGGUUUCAGGAUUUUUAUAAGUCAGCUAUACCGUGUGAUGCAUUUUCAGAUUCAUCACUCGACAACUUCCUGUUUACCGAACACUUGCAUAUUUUUACACUAUUAAUAUUAUCCACUUGCGGGCGGGGUAUCAUCAGUGAGCAGUAGCUCGCAGUUUCACUUGUUGUCAAUGGAAACUCAAUGGAAAAUAAUGAAAUAAAUUUAAAGAAUUGCAUUACAUGUUUAACAUGUAAUUGUGUGUUUCAAUUUUAUAUUUCAUUUUUCAGUUAUUCGUAUAGAGUUACAUCUUAUAAUAUUGGACACUUUAUGUUUUUGAGCAUAAAACCAACUUAAUUUUGUUAAAUUAGAACCAGCC